ACGGAGGAUGCGAGCGUUAUCCGGAUUUAUUGGGUUUAAAGGGUGCGCAGGCGGCGUGCCAAGUCAGCGGUAAAAAUGCGGUGCUCAACGCCGUAUAGCCGUUGAAACUGACAUGCUAGAGUGAGCGAGAAGUAUGCGGAAUGCGUGGUGUAGCGGUGAAAUGCAUAGAUAUCACGCAGAACCCCGAUUGCGAAGGCAGCAUACCGGCGCUCAACUGACGCUCAGGCACGAAAGUGCGGGGAUCAAACAG
rnacentral:rRNA from 1 species